AUACGGUGAAUACGUUCCCGGACCUUGUACACACCGCCCGUCAAGCCAUGAAAGCCGGGGGACCUGAAGUCGGCAACCGCAAGGAACCGCCUAGGUAAAUCGGUAAUUGGGCU
rnacentral:rRNA from 1 species